rnacentral:rRNA from 1 species
GGUCAAGCGAAUAAGCGCACACGGUGGAUGCCUUGGCGGUCAGAGGCGAUGAAGGACGUGGCAGCCUGCGAAAAGUAUCGGGGAGCUGGCAACAAGCUUUGAUCCGGUAAUGUCCGAAUGGGGAAACCCACCCGCUUGCGGGUAUCCUGCAGUGAAUACAUAGCUGCUGGAAGCGAACCUGGUGAACUGAAAUAUCUAAGUAACCAGAGGAAAAGAAAUCAACCGAGAUUCCGUAAGUAGCGACGAGCGAACGCGGACUAGCCCUUAAGCUGGAUUGGUUCUAGGAAAACGCUCUGGAAAGAGCGGCCAUAGAAGGUGAUAGCCCUGUAUCUGAAAGGGCCAUUCCAGUGAAGACGAGUAGGGCGGGGCACGUGAAACCCUGUCUGAACAUGGGGGGACCAUCCUCCAAGGCUAAAUACUACUGACCGACCGAUAGUGAACCAGUACCGUGAGGGAAAGGCGAAAAGAACCCCGGAGAGGGGAGUGAAAUAGAACCUGAAACCGUGUGCGUACAAGCAGUAGGAGCUCCGCAAGGAGUGACUGCGUACCUUUUGUAUAAUGGGUCAGCGACUUACUGUUCGUGGCAAGCUUAACCGUAUAGGGGAGGCGAAGGGAAACCGAGUCUGAUAAGGGCGCAUAGUCGCGGGCAGUAGACCCGAAACCGGGUGAUCUAGUCAUGCCCAGGGUGAAGGUGCGGUAACACGCACUGGAGGCCCGAACCCACUCCCGUUGCAAAGGUAGGGGAUGAGGUGUGAUUAGGAGUGAAAAGCUAAUCGAACCCGGAGAUAGCUGGUUCUCCUCGAAAGCUAUUUAGGUAGCGCCUCAUAUGUAUCCUCUCGGGGGUAGAGCACUGUUAUGGCUAGGGGGUCAUCGCGACUUACCAAACCAUUGCAAACUCCGAAUACCGAGACGGACUGUAUGGGAGACACACGGCGGGUGCUAACGUCCGUCGUGAAAAGGGAAACAACCCAGACCCACAGCUAAGGUCCCAAAUUCACUGCUAAGUGGAAAACCAUGUGGAAAGGCACAGACAGCCAGGAGGUUGGCUUAGAAGCAGCCACCCUUUAAAGAAAGCGUAAUAGCUCACUGGUCGAGUCGGUCUGCGGGGAAGAUUUAACGGGGCUAAGCAGUGAACCGAAGCUUGGGGUGCAUAACUUUGUUAUGCGCGGUAGAGGAGCGUUCCGUAAGCCGUUGAAGGUGGAUUGAGAAGUCUGCUGGAGGUAUCGGAAGUGCGAAUGCUGACAUGAGUAACGAUAAUGCGGGUGAAAAACCCGCACGCCGAAAGCCCAAGGUUUCCUUGCGCAACGUUAAUCGGCGCAGGGUGAGUCGGCCCCUAAGGCGAGGACGAAAGUCGUAGUCGAUGGGAAGCAGGUUAAUAUUCCUGCACCUCGCGUAAGUGCGAUGGAGGGACGGAGAAGGUUAGGUGUACCAGGCGUUGGUUGUCCUGGGGAAAGGCGGUAGGUUUGGAUCUUUGGCAAAUCCGGGAUCCUCUAAGACCGAGCACCGAGACGAGCCUUUAAGGCGAAGUCACUGAUACCACGCUUCCAGGAAAAGCUCCUAAGCUUCAGCUUACGCAGACCGUACCGUAAACCGACACAGGUGGGUAGGAUGAGAAUUCUCAGGCGCUUGAGAGAACUCGGGUGAAGGAACUAGGCAACAUGGCACCGUAACUUCGGGAGAAGGUGCACCCUUUUUGGUGGCUCGUGCGAGCUAUAGCUGAAGAGGGUCGCAGUAACCAGGCCGCUGCGACUGUUUAUCAAAAACACAGCACUCUGCAAACACGAAAGUGGACGUAUAGGGUGUGACGCCUGCCCGGUGCUGGAAGGUUAAUUGAUGGGGUCAGCCGCAAGGCGAAGCUCUUGAUCGAAGCCCCAGUAAACGGCGGCCGUAACUAUAACGGUCCUAAGGUAGCGAAAUUCCUUGUCGGGUAAGUUCCGACCUGCACGAAUGGCGUAACGACAGCGGCGCUGUCUCCACCCGAGACUCAGUGAAAUUGAAAUCGCUGUGAAGAUGCAGCGUUCCCGUGGCAAGACGGAAAGACCCCGUGAACCUUUACUAUAGCUUUACACUGAACGUUGAGUUCGUCUGUGUAGGAUAGGUGGGAGGCUAUGAAACUGUGGCGCUAGCUGCAGCGGAGCCAUCCUUGAAAUACCACCCUGUCGUGCUUGACGUUCUAACCUGGGCCCAUUAUCUGGGUCGGGGACCGUGUAUGGUGGGUAGUUUGACUGGGGCGGUCUCCUCCUAAAGAGUAACGGAGGAGCUCGAAGGUACGCUCAGCGCGGUCGGACAUCGCGCACUGUGUGCAAAGGCAUAAGCGUGCUUGACUGCAAGAUCGACGGAUCAAGCAGGUAGGAAACUAGGACUUAGUGAUCCGGUGGUUCUGUAUGGAAGGGCCAUCGCUCAACGGAUAAAAGGUACUCCGGGGAUAACAGGCUGAUACCGCCCAAGAGUUCAUAUCGACGGCGGUGUUUGGCACCUCGAUGUCGGCUCAUCACAUCCUGGGGCUGUAGUCGGUCCCAAGGGUAUGGCUGUUCGCCAUUUAAAGUGGUACGCGAGCUGGGUUCAGAACGUCGUGAGACAGUUCGGUCCCUAUCUGCCAUGGGCGUUGGAGAUUUGAGAGGGGCUGCUCCUAGUACGAGAGGACCGGAGUGGACGAACCUCUGGUGUUCCGGUUGUCACGCCAGUGGCAUUGCCGGGUAGCUAUGUUCGGAAGCGAUAACCGCUGAAAGCAUCUAAGCGGGAAGCGCGCCUCAAGAUGAGAUCUCCCGGGGCACAAGCCCCCUGAAGGAACCAUGUAGACUACGUGGUUGAUAGGUCAGGUGUGUAAGUACAGCAAUGUAUUGAGCUAACUGAUACUAAUGAUCCGUGCGGCUUGACCAU